rnacentral:lncRNA from 1 species
UUUUCUUUCUAUUUUCUUUCUUUUUUCUCUUUCUCCUUCUUUUCCUUCCUACCUUCCUACCUUCCUUCCCUCCUUCUUUCUUUGAUUUCCAGAGCGAGAGCGUGUUAGUUUGCUAGGACGACCAUCACAAAGGACCACAAAAAGGGUAGCUUCAAACAACAAAAAUGUGUUUCCUCACCAUUGUAGAGCCUAACAUCAGAAAUCAAGGUGUUGGCAGGGUCUGUUCCUUGUGAAGCCUGAACCUUCCUUGCCUCUUCCAGCUCCUGGCGGGCUCCAUGUUCCUUGGCCCGCGGGAGUAUCUCUUCCAUCACCGCCUCCCUCUUCACAGGACCGCCUUCCCCCACCACACUGGACAUGUGGACAUCAAGAGAGCUCGAGGAGGGAGAUCAGCAUCUGAGAAGAAAAGGAAAGGCAGAGAGGGAAUGUGAUUGUUUAUAGGGUUCUAGAGAGGGGAACACAGACAGAAUCUGGAGGGCUCCCACCGCGGAACGGGCGAUUAAUGACUGAAUGCUUAUGAAAGCAUGCCAGGAUCUGCCCUCGAUGCUCGUUGACCAGAGGUGAUCGCGAUAGGAAAUAUUUCCAAGCUCAAGAAGCUCAGAUACCAGGACCGGAGGCAGAAGAAUCUGGAAAAAGCGUGACCGGGAGGAAAGAGGAAAAUCCAGGACCAGUGAAACCACAGAAGAGAAAGGAGGAAGGGUGAAAAGGGGGAGUGGUCAGUAGUGCUAAGUGCCAAACAGAAAGAGGAAGCAAGAUAAGAGCCCAGAGCGGCCAUUAGUUUGAGCAACAAAAGAAUCAUGGCUGACCCCAGUGAGUCUGAUCUGAGUGGAAAGUUGGGGGUGGGAGCCGGAAUCCCACUGGUUAAGAAGUGUGUUCUCAGGGACUGCUCUUGGAAGAUGGCGGGAGGCUUAGGGUCGAAGAAGGUGUGUUAUAAGGGGGGAGACCCUUGAAUGUUUUUAUCCCCAGAGCUGGAACGUUCCAAAGGAAGAAGUUGUGGAAGAGAGAACUGGAUCCACAGAGACACCAUGGGACCCCUGGGAAAGCCGGCGACCAUCCAGAGCCAAGGAGAGGAGCGUCAGAGGAAACCAGUCCUGCCAACACCUUGAUCUUGGACUCGCAGGCUCCAGAGCUGUAAGGUAAUGGAUUUCUGUUGUUUCAGUCCCCCUCCCCCCACC